rnacentral:rRNA from 1 species
UACGAAGGGGGCUGGCGUUGCUCGGAAUCACUGGGCGUAAAGGGCGCGUAGGCGGCCAUUCAAGUCAGAGGUGAAAGCCCAAGGCUCAACCUUGGAACUGCCUUUGAUACUGUUUGGCUUGAGACCGGUAGAGGUAAGUGGAACUGCGAGUGUAGAGGUGAAAUUCGUAGAUAUUCGCAAGAACACCAGUGGCGAAGGCGGCUCACUGGACUGGUAUUGACGCUGAGGUGCGAAAGCGUGGGGAGCAAACAGG